CUACCUUUACAGAACUACACAGAUCACCAUGUUUCCUACCACAGGAAUACUCUUACUGACAGUCUAUCUAACAGGUAUUCAUGGUCAAACACUGACUGAGUCUGGACCAGUGGUUAAAAAGCCUGGAGAAUCCCACACACUGACCUGUACAACCUCUGGGUUCACUUUCAGAGGCUAUGAGAUGGCUUGGAUCAGACAGGCUCCUGGGAAAGGACUGGAGUGGGUUGCUUUUAUUAGCACAUCUAGUACUCCCAUCUCUUACUCCCAGUCAGUCCAGGGUAGAUUCACCAUCUCCAGAGAUGACUCCAGCAGUAAGCUGUACCUACAGAUGAACAGCCUGAAGAGUGAGGACACAGCAGUGUAUUACUGUGCUAGAGAGUCACAGUGGUUAAACUAA